rnacentral:lncRNA from 1 species
CAUCUGGAGAACAUGGACAUCCAUCCAACUAGAAGUUGUAGAAUAUCACUUGAACUUAAGUACCUUAGGCGCAAGAAAAUUGUGGCAUUUCAGAUAUAUAAUAGCUAGUCUCGGUGUUGUUGGUUGGAUGUAUUAGGAGCCAUUCUACCGUAGCAAAGACAAUAGAUAGCCAAUGUUACUAAUGUCCAACCACAAAGAAAAAUUAACAGAACAACACUUGGUGAAUCAGCUCCCAUGCUACAUCAGAUGAGGUACACCUAGCAGUCUGCAUAGAACCCUAGUAUUGUCUGCUUCUUGACCUAUAGCCUAGAUUUAUAAAAAUGACAGUAUCUAUAUGGAAGCACUCUCUUGAUUCAAAACUCUAUGAAUAUGUUAGGAAUUAGCUUUGAUUGUUAAUUUCCAUGUGUUGAU